UGGUUGUGGGCGUUUUUGGUGACCUUUGACCUGGCUGAAGGCCACCAUCUUCUGAAAACACCGGGAUGUCAGCUAUGGCGCAUCGAUCGGUGAGGGUGUCAUGGGGGACGGUGUGAUAGGCUCGGGAUAUGGGAUUGUCUGCGAACUAUUUCAGGUGGCUUUGGGCGUUUUUAGUGGCCUUUGAGCUAACGUAAGGUCAUGAUGUCCUGGAAAGGGUAGCGUGUUGACUAAUACACAUCGGUUGGGGGAGGUUUCUUGCUUACGCGGCCCUACAGCAUCGGAGCAUGGGGUUGUCGAAGUACCUAUUUUUCGGUUUUUCGUAUUUUUGGUGAUGUUUGACCUGACUCAAAGUCAUCAUAUUUUGAAACGGUUACGUUAUCGACUAAUCGGCAUCGAAUGGGUAAGGUUUCAUGUCGGUCGGUGCCAUGGGGUUGGAGUAUCGGGCUGUCAGCGGGUCUGGUUGACUGUUUAGUGCUCCCCUCCGGGCUCUUGCCUCGUGGAAUCAGCGAAUGAAAGCCGCGCAGGUUGACAAGGAGAAAGCGCUGGCUGCUGAUAAACAAAAAUACACAUUGGUUGCGAGGGACUGGGUUUGAUAAACCUGCGCGGUCUUGCACAGACUAGAUUUGCACGGGUCUUCGCACAUGCGCCUGGCCUGACACCAGCCCAGGGUGAAGGAUCCACAGAGGAAAACUGAUGGCAACAGGAGGGGAAGAUCCUGCAAAUGGGCAGGAAAGAUCCACAGCCUUCAAUUUCUCUGAGACUCCAACACUGGAAGACCUGCGAGCGAGCAUGAACCAGUUUGCCACUGAGCGUGAUUGGAACCAGUACCACACACCAAGGAAUCUGCUGCUGGCGAUGGUUGGCGAAGUCGGAGAGCUCUCGGAAAUAUUGUAAGUCAAACGUCGUGGGCCUCUUCCGAUGGCAGUAAUCCACCACUGGACGUCAAAGAUGUCAC